rnacentral:rRNA from 1 species
AUACUCUAUACUCCUGCUUAACACAAGUUGAGUAGGGAAAGUUUUUCGGUGUAGGAUGAGACUAUAUAGUAUCAGCUAGUUGGUAAGGUAAUGGCUUACCAAGGCUAUGACGCUUAACUGGUCUGAGAGGAUGAUCAGUCACACUGGAACUGAGACACGGUCCAGACUCCUACGGGAGGCAGCAGUAGGGAAUAUUGCGCAAUGGGGGAAACCCUGACGCAGCAACGCCGCGUGGAGGAUGACACUUUUCGGAGCGUAAACUCCUUUUCUUAGGGAAGAAUUCUGACGGUACCUAAGGAAUAAGCACCGGCUAACUCCGUGCCAGCAGCCGCGGUAAUACGGAGGGUGCAAGCGUUACUCGGAAUCACUGGGCGUAAAGGGCGCGUAGGCGGAUUAUCAAGUCUCUUGUGAAAUCUAAUGGCUUAACCAUUAAACUGCUUGGGAAACUGAUAGUCUAGAGUGAGGGAGAGGCAGAUGGAAUUGGUGGUGUAGGGGUAAAAUCCGUAGAUAUCACCAAGAAUACCCAUUGCGAAGGCGAUCUGCUGGAACUCAACUGACGCUAAGGCGCGAAAGCGUGGGGAGCAAACAGGAUUAGAUACCCUGGUAGUCCACGCCCUAAACGAUGUACACUAGUUGUUGGGAUGCUAGUCAUCUCAGUAAUGCAGCUAACGCAUUAAGUGUACCGCCUGGGGAGUACGGUCGCAAGAUUAAAACUCAAAGGAAUAGACGGGGACCCGCACAAGCGGUGGAGCAUGUGGUUUAAUUCGAAGAUACGCGAAGAACCUUACCUGGGCUUGAUAUCCUAAGAACCUUAUAGAGAUAUGAGGGUGCUAGCUUGCUAGAACUUAGAGACAGGUGCUGCACGGCUGUCGUCAGCUCGUGUCGUGAGAUGUUGGGUUAAGUCCCGCAACGAGCGCAACCCACGUAUUUAGUUGCUAACGGUUCGGCCGAGCACUCUAAAUAGACUGCCUUCGUAAGGAGGAGGAAGGUGUGGACGACGUCAAGUCAUCAUGGCCCUUAUGCCCAGGGCGACACACGUGCUACAAUGGCAUAUACAAUGAGACGCAAUACCGCGAGGUGGAGCAAAUCUAUAAAAUAUGUCCCAGUUCGGAUUGUUCUCUGCAACUCGAGAGCAUGAAGCCGGAAUCGCUAGUAAUCGUAGAUCAGCCAUGCUACGGUGAAUACGUUCCCGGGUCUUGUACUCACCGCCCGUCACACCAUGGGAGUUGAUUUCACUCGAAGCCGGAAUACUAAACUAGUUACCGUCCACAGUGGAAUCAGCGACUGGGGUGAAGUCGUAACAAGGUAACCGUAGGAGAACCUGCGGUUGGAUCACCUCCUUU